rnacentral:rRNA from 1 species
CAUGGGAUAACUCCCGGAACCGGGGCUAAUACCGGAUGGUUGUUUGAACCGCAUGGUUCAAACAUAAAAGGUGGCUUCGGCUACCACUUACAGAUGGACCCCCGGCGCACUAUCUAGUUGGUGAGGUAACGGCUCACCAAGGCGACGAUGCGUAGCCCACCUGAGAGGGUGAUCGGCCACACUGGGACUGAGACACGGCCCAGACUCCUACGGGAGGCAGCAGUAGGGAAUCUUCCGCAAUGGACGAAAGUCUGACAGAGCAGCGCCGCGUGAGUGAUGAAGGUUUUCGGAUCGAAAAGCAAAGCUGGUGGGGAAAAACAAGUGCCGGCCGAAGAGGACGACCAAAACAUACCCCCCCAGGCCACGGCAAAGGAGAAGGCCCCCCCCAUAUAAUAAAACAGGGGGGGGA